AAGGACAGAAAAGUGAAGGCAAAAUC
rnacentral:piRNA from 1 species